rnacentral:rRNA from 1 species
GGAAUAUUGGGCAAUGCCCGCAAGGGUGACCCAGCAACGCCGCGUGGAGGAUGCAUGUCGUAAGAUUGUAAACUCCUGUUAGAGGGGAAGAAUAGUACCGGUUGGACCGGUAUAUGACUGUACCCUCAGAGAAAGCUCCGGCUAACUACGUGCCAGCAGCCGCGGUAAUACGUAGGGGGCAAGCGUUGUCCGGAUUUACUGGAUGUAAAGGGCGCGCAGGCGGGAUAAAAAGUCAGUGGUGAAAUCCUACAGCUUAACUGUAGAACUGCCUUUGAUACUUUUAUUCGUGAGUUCGGGAGAGAGAGACGGAAAUCCAGGCGUAGUGGUGAAAUACGUAGAUAUCUGGAAGAACAACAGUUGCGAAGGCGGUCUCUUGGUCCGACACUGACGCUGAGGCGCGAAAGCGUGGGGAGCAAACA